CUAGAUGCGCUCCCAGGAAGGUUUGGGUACCGGGGCUGCUCCCCGUCGCCAUGGCAACGGCGCUGAGCAUCCCUAGCAACGCCCUGCCAUCCCAUAAUAACGACCCCCCCCGUCUCCAUGGCAACGGUGGGGCCCCCUAGCAACGGCCUGGGUACCAAGGCGGCUCCCCGUCGCCAUGGCAACGGCGCUGAGCAUCCCUAGCAACGCCCUGCCAUCCCAUAAUAACGACCCCCCCCGUCUCCAUGGCAACGGUGGGGCCCCCUAGCAACGGCCUGGGUACCAAGGCGGCUCCCCGUCGCCAUGGCAACGGCGCUGAGCAUCCCUAGCAACGCCCUGCCAUCCCAUAAUAACGACCCCCCCCGUCUCCAUGGCAACGGUGGGGCCCCCUAGCAACGGCCUGGGUACCAAGGCGGCUCCCCGUCGCCAUGGCAACGGCGCUGAGCAUCCCUAGCAACGCCCUGCCAUCCCAUAAUAACGACCCCCCCCGUCUCCAUGGCAACGGUGGGGCCCCCUAGCAACGGCCUGGGUACCAAGGCGGCUCCCCGUCGCCAUGGCAACGGCGCUGAGCAUCCCUAGCAACGCCCUGCCAUCCCAUAAUAACGACCCCCCCCGUCUCCAUGGCAACGGUGGGGCCCCCUAGCAACGGCCUGGGUACCAAGGCGGCUCCCCGUCGCCAUGGCAACGGCGCUGAGCAUCCCUAGCAACGCCCUGCCAUCCCAUAAUAACGACCCCCCCCGUCUCCAUGGCAACGGUGGGGCCCCCUAGCAACGGCCUGGGUACCAAGGCGGCUCCCCGUCGCCAUGGCAACGGCGCUGAGCAUCCCUAGCAACGCCCUGCCAUCCCAUAAUAACGACCCCCCCCGUCUCCAUGGCAACGGUGGGGCCCCCUAGCAACGGCCUGGGUACCAAGGCGGCUCCCCGUCGCCAUGGCAACGGCGCUGAGCAUCCCUAGCAACGCCCUGCCAUCCCAUAAUAACGACCCCCCCCGUCUCCAUGGCAACGGUGGGGCCCCCUAGCAACGGCCUGGGUACCAAGGAGGCUCCCCGUCGCCAUGGCAACCCUGCUGAGCAUCCCUGCCAUCCCAUAAUACCCUGCCAUCCCAUAAUACCGCCCCCCCGUCUCCAUGGCAACGUUGGCGCCCCCUAGCGCCAGCCCUGGGUACCAAGGAGCCUCCCCGUCGCCAUGGCAAC
rnacentral:lncRNA from 1 species